CCCAUCCAAAUAUUCAAGAGAUAGUAAAAUCGACUAUGUUUAGAUGCUCUCCCUGAGAUAUAAUCAAAUAAACAUUUUACUUUUAAAUUUAUUCAAGGAAAUAGGGAAUGCUUAAUAUUCCCAAAAAAAAUAAUUUGGGUAGAAUAAUUUAAAAACAAAAGACAAUGGAAAAUGAAGAAAGAAUUGAUACCAAAACACACCAUGUUCACGUGGUAAGAGUUUUAGAAUGCUGAACUUAGAAAACUCAGAAGGAGCAAAAAUUUUGGGAGGGAUGAGAGUGUAUACUCAAAGAUGGUUCCUUUGAUGGUUUGAUCUACUGCAUAAAAAAUGGGA